rnacentral:rRNA from 1 species
GACGAACGCUGGCGGCGUGCUUAACACAUGCAAGUCGAACGCGCCGGUCCUCUGGGUUUCUGGUGGGUGGGUGAGUGGCGAACGGGUGAGUCACACGUGAGUAACCUUCCCCCUUCUUCGGGAUAACGGUCUGAAAGGGCUGCUAAUACCGGGUAUUCACUGGUCUCCGCAUGGGGUCUGGUGGAAAGGUUGUUUUCUGGUGGGGGAUGGGGUCGCGGCCUGUUGGCUGGGUGGUGGGGUGAUGGCUCACCGAGGCUUUGACGGGUAGUCGGACUGAGAGGGGGCCCGGUCACAUUGGGACUGAGAUACGGACUAGACUACGACGCGAGGCCGCAGUGGAGACUAUUGCGCGAUGGGCGGAAGCAUGAUGCGGCGACGCAGCGUGAGGGAUGGAGGCCGGGGGGUUGUGAACCUCUUUGGAACGUGGUCAAGCCGCGACGUGGGUCGUGGUGACGGUAGUGGGUAAAGAAGCGCCGGCUAACUACGUG